rnacentral:rRNA from 1 species
CACGGGGGGAGCAAGCGUUGUUCGGAAUCACUGGGCGUAAAGGGCGUGUAGGCGGUCAGGUAAGUGGGAUGUGAAAUGCCCCGGCUCACCCGGGGGACCGGCAUCCCAUACUGCUUGGCUUGAGUACGGGAGAGGAUGUGGGAAUUCCUGGUGGUAGCGGUGAAAUGCGUAGAUAGUCAGGAGGAACACCGGUGGCGAAGGCGCACAUCUGGCCCGAUACUGACGUGGAGGCGCGAAAGCUAGGGGAGCAAACGGG